GACGAACGCUGGCGGCGUGCUUAACACAUGCAAGUCGAACGGAAAGGCCCUGCUUUCGUGGGGUGCUCGAGUGGCGAACGGGUGAGUAACACGUGUGUAACCUGCCCUUGACUUUGGGAUAACUUCAGGAAACUGGGGCUAAUACCGGAUAGGAGCUCCUGCUGCAUGGUGGGGGUUGGAAAGUUUCGGCGGUUGGGGAUGGACUCGCGGCUUAUCAGCUUGUUGGUGGGGUAGUGGCUUACCCAGGCUUUGACGGGUAGCCGGCCUGAGAGGGUGACCGGCCACCUUGGGCCUGAGGUACGGCCCAGAGUCGUACGGGAGACAGCAGUGGGGAAUAUUGCACAAUGGGCGGAAGCCUGAUGAAGCAACGCCGGGUGCGUGAUGACGGCCUUCGGGUUGUAAACCGCUUUCGCCUGAGACGAAGCGUGAGUGACGGUAAUGAGUAAAGAAGCACCGGCUAACUACGUG
rnacentral:rRNA from 1 species